UUCGCCCUUAGAGUUUGAUCCUGGCUCAGGACGAACGCUGGCGGCGCGCCUAACACAUGCAAGUCGAACGGAGCUGAGAGGAGCUUGCUUUUCUUAGCUUAGUGGCGAACGGGUGAGUAACGCGUGAGUAACCUGCCCUGGAGUGGGGGACAACAGUUGGAAACGACUGCUAAUACCGCAUAAGCCCACGGCCCGGCAUCGGGCUGAGGGAAAAGGAUUUAUUCGCUUCAGGAUGGACUCGCGUCCAAUUAGCUAGUUGGUGAGGUAACGGCCCACCAAGGCGACGAUUGGUAGCCGGACUGAGAGGUUGAACGGCCACAUUGGGACUGAGACACGGCUCAGACUCCUACGGGAGGCAGCAGUGGGGGAUAUUGCACAAUGGGGGAAACCCUGAUGCAGCGACGCCGCGUGGAGGAAGAAGGUUUUCGGAUUGUAAACUCCUGUCGUUAGGGACGAUAAUGACGGUACCUAACAAGAAAGCACCGGCUAACUACGUGCCAGCAGCCGCGGUAAAACGUAGGGUGCAAGCGUUGUCCGGAAUUACUGGGUGUAAAGGGAGCGCAGGCGGACCGGCAAGUUGGAAGUGAAAACUAUGGGCUCAACCCAUAAAUUGCUUUCAAAACUGCUGGCCUUGAGUAGUGCAGAGGUAGGUGGAAUUCCCGGUGUAGCGGUGGAAUGCGUAGAUAUCGGGAGGAACACCAGUGGCGAAGGCGACCUACUGGGCACCAACUGACGCUGAGGCUCGAAAGCAUGGGUAGCAAAACCAGGGUUUAGAUACCCUGGUAGUCCAUGCCGUAAACGAUGAUUACUAGGUGUUGGAGGAUUGACCCCUUCAGUGCCGCAGUUAACACAAUAAGUAAUCCACCUGGGGAGUACGACCGCAAGGUUGAAACUCAAAGGAAUUGACGGGGGCCCGCACAAGCAGUGGAGUAUGUGGUUUAAUUCGAAGCAACGCGAAGAACCUUACCAGGUCUUGACAUCCGAUGCAUAGCGCAGAGAUGCGUGAAGUCCUUCGGGACAUCGAGACAGGUGGUGCAUGGUUGUCGUCAGCUCGUGUCGUGAGAUGUUGGGUUAAGUCCCGCAACGAGCGCAACCCUUAUUGCCAGUUACUACGCAAGAGGACUCUGGCGAGACUGCCGUUGACAAAACGGAGGAAGGUGGGGAUGACGUCAAAUCAUCAUGCCCUUUAUGACCUGGGCUACACACGUGCUACAAUGGCGUUUAACAAAGAGAAGCAAGACCGCGAGGUGGAGCAAAACUCAAAAACAACGUCUCAGUUCAGAUUGCAGGCUGCAACUCGCCUGCAUGAAGUCGGAAUUGCUAGUAAUCGCGGAUCAGCAUGCCGCGGUGAAUACGUUCCCGGGCCUUGCACACACCGCCCGUCA
rnacentral:rRNA from 1 species